rnacentral:tRNA from 1 species
UGUUAUUUUGGCAGAAUAGUGCGUUAGAUUUAGAAUCUAUUUAAGUAAAUUUUAUUUACAUAUAAUA